GUAGUCUCGCACAGAUGCAUAUCAAUAAGCGGAGGAAAAGAAACUAACAAGGAUUCCCCUAGUAACGGCGAGUGAAGCGGGAAGAGCUCAAAUUUGAAAUCUUAAAGGGUUUUCCCUUGACGAAUUGUAGUUUAAAGAAGUGUUUUCUGUUGAAGUUUUGGUAAAAGUUCUUUGGAAUAGGACAUCAUAGGAGGGUGAGAAUCCCGUAUUUGACCAUUAUUUUCAGCUGUGUGAUACACUUUCAAAGAGUCGGAUUGUUUGGGAAUGCAGUCCAAAAUGGGUGGUAAAUUUCAUCUAAAGCUAAAUAUUGGCGAGAGACCGAUAGCGAACAAGUACCGUGAGGGAAAGAUGAAAAGAACUUUGAAAAGAGAGUUAAACAGUACGUGAAAUUGUCAAAAGGGAAGCGUUUGACACCAGUGUUGUUUUCUCGAAAAUCAAUUAAAAAGAGUUAGAUUUUGUUGUGUAUUGACCUUAACAGCUUGCAUUUCAAUUUUCUUGCUUUUUUUAAUGCACUUUUCGUUUAACAAGUCAACAUCAGUUUCUUUUGUUGUAAAAAGGUCAUUGGAAGGUGGCUUUCUUUUCGGAGAAAGUGUUUAUAGCCUUUGACUCCUGCAAUCGGAGAGACUGAGGUCUGCAGCGUAGAUCCUUCGGGGUUAGAUACAUUUGUGCUAAGUUAUAGCUUUUUAUAGACAACUUGUUGACUAUGAUUAGUCUUGUAGCUUACUCGCUUAUGCUAUUUUACCUACGCUUAGGAUGUUGAGCGCAUGUCUCUCUCU
rnacentral:rRNA from 1 species